CAAAUUGAGAGUUUGAUCCUGGCUCAGGACGAACGCUGGCGGCGUGCCUAAUACAUGCAAGUCGAGCGAGCUGAAUUCAAAGAUCCCUUCGGGGUGAUUUGUUGGACGCUAGCGGCGGAUGGGUGAGUAACACGUGGGCAAUCUGCCCUAAAGACUGGGAUACCACUUGGAAACAGGUGCUAAUACCGGAUAACAACAUGAAUCGCAUGAUUCAAGUUUGAAAGGCGGCGUAAGCUGUCACUUUAGGAUGAGCCCGCGGCGCAUUAGCUAGUUGGUGGGGUAAAGGCCUACCAAGGCAAUGAUGCGUAGCCGAGUUGAGAGACUGAUCGGCCACAUUGGGACUGAGACACGGCCCAAACUCCUACGGGAGGCAGCAGUAGGGAAUCUUCCACAAUGGACGCAAGUCUGAUGGAGCAACGCCGCGUGAGUGAAGAAGGUUUUCGGAUCGUAAAGCUCUGUUGUUGGUGAAGAAGGAUAGAGGCAGUAACUGGUCUUUAUUUGACGGUAAUCAACCAGAAAGUCACGGCUAACUACGUGCCAGCAGCCGCGGUAAUACGUAGGUGGCAAGCGUUGUCCGGAUUUAUUGGGCGUAAAGCGAGCGCAGGCGGA
rnacentral:rRNA from 1 species